rnacentral:rRNA from 1 species
AGUGAACGCUGGCGGUAGGCCUAACACAUGCAAGUCGAACGGCAGCACAGUAAGAGCUUGCUCUUACGGGUGGCGAGUGGCGGACGGGUGAGGAAUACAUCGGAAUCUACUUUUUCGUGGGGGAUAACGUAGGGAAACUUACGCUAAUACCGCAUACGACCUACGGGUGAAAGCAGGGGAUCUUCGGACCUUUCGCGAUUGAAUGAGCCGAUGUCGGAUUAGCUAGUUGGCGGGGUAAAGGCCCACCAAGGCGACGAUCCGUAGCUGGUCUGAGAGGAGGAUCAGCCGCACUGGAAGUGAGACACGGUCCAGACUCCUACGGGAGGCAGCAGUGGGGAAUAUUGGACAAAGGGCGCAAGCCUGAUCCAGCCAUACCGCGUGGGUGAAGAAGGCGUUCGGGUUGUAAAGCCCUUUUGUUGGGAAAGAAAAGCAGCAGGUUAAUACCCCGCUGUUCUGACGGUACCCAAAGAAUAAGCACCGGCUAACUUCGUG